GGGUUCGCGUGCGAGGCGCGCCUGGAGGCCUCAGCGCCAGGAGGUCCUCAGCCGGCUGCUCAGCCCGCCGAGUGGGGAACACUGAAGACGCUGACCCGGGGUUGGCUCCUCGCUAUCCUGCGCCCAACCCAGUAGACCGAAAGUCCACCAGGCCUCCGCCGCCUUGGCUUCUCGAGUUUCUUUGUACGACAGUAAUCGGUGCAGAGGUUGUUCAAGUCCAGCCCCGAUUUAAAGGCAGCAGGUAUCUCUUUCAGCUACAGCACUCCAACUUCCUCUCAUGGCACUCUCAGGUUGCAGGAAACCACCGCGACAGCUCUGUGAACCUUCCCACGCCGGCCCUGACACCGAGCUUGCUCGCACAGCCACGCAGCUGGGGCUCCUCCAAGUCUCAGCUUCACACGGGUGGGGAGACAAAGCUGGCGCUGGGAGGGGAAAAAAUGGCCAGCGAAAUUGCCUCAAGAUAGUCCCUUUGUUAGAGGAACAGUGGAUACACUGCGAAUGCGACAAGGGCUUCCAACCCCAGCGGGUUCUGUGGUGCAGUCGUUGAAUUGCGCUGGCCCUGAUAGUUCAGCCUGGCAGGGUUUGCGAUUAUUGCGGAGAGAGACUCAAGCAUUCUGUCAACACAUAUGGCAUAGAAAGCUUCAACCAUAACAUUGCACAGUUUUUGCAGUUACUGCUUUAAAUAUAUUAACAAGACGUCCUUGUUUUACCCAGUGAAGAAACGGAAUAGAUACGCAGCAAACCAUCAAACACCCCCAACUCCCUGCUGUACUUAACUGUGUACAGUGAUGAUAAUUAGACUCUGGGUCCCUGAAGUCACUAGUUCAGUUCUUCCAUCUGUAUUCCAGAGAUAAUUAUUUAUUACCAAGUUUGAGUAAAGAGUUAUAUGCAGAAUAUUUUUGGCUUGCACCCAAAGGAAGGAGUAUGUAAAGUCCACCAAAGAAUUGUUUACUGAAGUGAGUUCUAUGCUGGUGACAAACAUUUGAAGUAACUCAAGAGAUAUUCAAGUCAUUCUGAAUAGAUAUGGGAUCGUGUUAACUACAUCCAGAACUGAUGAAAUUAACACCGUCUUAGUUCCUUAGAGCAGAAAUUGAACAUUUACAAUAGUACCAAAGCAUUUAGUGCUGAAUUAAAAGUAAGAGCGUUAGCCAGAAGCUAGAAAAUGGCAGAUAUACUGGUGAUACCAAGUUGGUGUUUUAUAUGAAUAUGAAUCUUAACUGCAUAAAAAGCCAAAGAGUUGGAUAAGCUGUCUUUCAUAGUCACUAGAAAGAUAUCUUUGAAAAACUGGUUAGAGUCUGAUCAGAACUCGGUGGCAUAGCUUGAGCUGAAAGGGCCCCUUUCCUAAAGCAUCCCAGAGUGGAAUAUCUCCCAUAUCAAUGGGAAAUCAGCUAGAUUCUAGGAUUCUAGUGAAGUACCAUAAAUUCAAGUAAACCUAAUCCAUCUCUCCAAACUUAAAUAAGUAGGACCGAUCAAGUCUCUAGGAUAAGACUUGACCCAGCCUUGAUUUUAACUCAUUCUGAGAAUUCAUCUGGGUAAGAAUCAUUCAGGCUAGAAAAGGCUGUAGCACCAAAAUCCUUUCUCCCGAUCACCUGAAAUUCUGCUAUUAGAGUUUUAUCCCUCUGAGUAGUUACUCUAGUAUAAAACCAUAAUCCAAAAACCCUAAUAUUUUAAGCUUCAAAAGCCACUUAUAUCUAAUUCAUCAGAUUGUUUCUCUAAAGCAGAUUUUGAUGGAAGAGAAAAAAAUAACAUGCUGAUGCUGAGAAGAUAGAACAGGGAAAGGGGCCUUUCAUUCCUCUGUGCAAUAGAGGGAGCAUAGAGGAGUACAUGAAAAAAAAAAUUACUCCUACUUAAUGGCCAAGUAGGUUCUGCUUACUCAAACUAUAACAAUGAACCCUAAAACACUGGCCUUAAAAGAAUAGAACAUCUGUAAACCCAGGUAACUUUAAAGGUUAAGGCAGGAGGAUCCCAAAUUCAAGGCCAACCUCAGCAAUUUAGUGAGACCCUGACUCAAAAAUUGAAAGGUAGGUUUAGGGGUGUAGCUUAGUGGUAGAGUGUUUCCCUGGCAUACACAGGGUCUUGGGUUUGAUCCCUAGCACCACAAAAGAGAGAGAGAAUGGAAGCAAGGAUACACUUGUCAAUAAUUAUCUAUUUUGUAAAAUAUUUCUUUAAUUAUCCCUUUAUAAAGUACUUUCCCAGGAAUCUGUAUCCGUGAAAUGAAAACAUACAAUCAGGGUAAUCAAUAUUCAGAAAUAAUGAUUUAUCUUCAUUAUUCAUCACUGACUACUUAGUUCUAACUCAUAUGAGCAAUGCAGACAAAUAUAGUCAAAUCUUCAUUUGUUCUUUUAUAUGAGACAUUCCUAUUCCAUGCUUUACAGAUUGGUUUCCUUUGAAAGUCCUCCCACAGGACCUUGGACUAAAGAUGGACUGAACUUUUUAUUUAUGAUUAAACAGAGAACUUAAACCCCACCUUAAGCUAAGCUGCCUAGCUGUGAUUCUGUAAUGAUUAACUGAAUCCCAACACCACCUUAGAGAGUAAGUUAAUGUGUGUUGAUAAUAAAGCUUCAUCUUCUCCAUUAUGAUUUCUCUAAAUGAU
rnacentral:lncRNA from 1 species